UACGUAGGGGGCUAGCGUUGUCCGGAAUCAUUGGGCGUAAAGAGCGUGUAGGCGGCCAGGUAGGUCCGGUGUGAAAACUCGAGGCUUAACCUCGAGAUGUCAUCGGAAACCAUCUGGCUAGAGUCCGGAAGAGGAAAGUGGAAUUCCUGGUGUAGCGGUGAAAUGCGCAGAUAUCAGGAAGAACACCAAUGGCGAAAGCAGCUUUCUGGGACGGUACUGACGCUGAGACGCGAAAGCGUGGGGAGCGAACAGG
rnacentral:rRNA from 1 species